GUUUUAGAACAUCAUAACAUUUAUUUGAGUCUCCUGGUUUCAAUGUCAGAGGAUAGUUAACCAACAAUACAGUAAAACUAACGACUUACUGAGCCAGUUAUAGACAUGGAAGACUACUGAAGUUAAUGGAAAAUAAUAACAUAAAAAAACAAUAUUCCAAUCAUAACCAAGAAAAUAAUACUUGCCAAUUCUAGUACGACAGCUAGAAUGUUUACAUAUAACAAAACAUGGCACACAACAUAACAUUGCAAAAAACAUAACAUUCUAAAUUCCAAUCAGAAUACAUCAAUGAUGCAGUCAGUACUGCAUACAUUUACAAAAACUUUGCUGCUCAUAACCAGAUAUAACAUUCAACUUAAAAUAUUCAACAAAAUGUAACAUUAACUACUUCCAUGUGUAAAUUUAUGGGCUAUGCAUUUUAUUUUUAAAAAAAACAACAAUUACAGACAUGCAUAAAUACAUUGAAGAUUAAAUAUUGAAACAUAUAUUGCUUUUUUUUUUAAACUGUUCACCUAAGAACCCAUUGAUUUAGCUCAACCCAUCUGUCCUUUAGGAGCAAGAUUAUUCUAAGAUUGUGUGUGAUAUCCAUCAGCAUGAGAAAUGAUGGCCUAGACCUUGGUUUGCUUUUCACUCCCUGACCCAGGGAUCCAUGUCUGGUUCAUAAAAUGAAGGUCUCCCCCCAAACAUCUCUUAUAAGGCAAUAGGAUAGAAGAAUCAAACAUUAUCAAUGUGGCUAUCAUUAAAGAAGAGGCAAAGAAAACAAGGCACUAAUAUUGACUACAAAAGUAAGAUCCAACUAGAAACUAAUAUUGACU